rnacentral:lncRNA from 1 species
CCCCAAGAAGCGCCACUUAGGAUACGGAGGAUACGGCUUAUACGGAGGAUACGGAGGAUACGGCCUCGGAGGAUUUGGCUUAGGAGGCUAUGGGGGCUACGGAGGCUUCGGCCAUGGAUCUCACUAUCCGUAUUACGGCUCCUACUACGGAUAGACACGAUGCUGAAGGAACAGAACAUCCUUCUACUGCCAAAGGACUUUCUGGGACUUGAGGAGAGUGAAACGUUAAAGGCUACAGAAUUUAUAUAUUUUAAUGACUCGUGUAAAGUCAUCCAAAUAAAGUCGGAUCGUUUUA